rnacentral:rRNA from 1 species
AUGUGUGGGGUCCGGCACAAACAUCUGUUAGUGGUCACAACUAUUAUGUCAGUUUUGUUGAUGCCUAUAGUCGUUUCACUUGGCUUUAUCUUCUUAAGCGCAAAUCUGAUGUGUUUGAUAUAUUCAUACAGUUUCAAUUGCAUGUUGAACGUCUACUCAAGCAUAAAAUUAUCCAUGUUCAAUCAGAUUGGGGGGGGGGGUGAAUAUCGCAACCUCAACACCUUCUUUAAUAAGCUUGGGAUCUCUCAUCGUUUAUCAUGCCCGCAUACACAUCAGCAGAAUGGCGCUGUUGAGCGCAAACAUCGCCAUAUAGUUGAGACCGGCCUCACACUUCUUGCUCAUGCUUCUGUACCCUUUCGUUUUUGGAGUGAUGCUUUUGCUACCGCGUGUUUUCUCAUUAACAGAUUACCUACGCGUGUUCUUAAUAUGAAAACUCUGAUUGAGCUUCUCUUAGGUGAAACUCCGGACUAUACCUUUUUUAAGGUGUUCGGGUGUGCCUGCUGGCCUCAUCUUCGUCCUUAUAAUGAUCGCAAACUUGAGUUUCGCUCCAAAAAGUGUGUGUUCUUAGGGUAUAGUUCUCUCCAUAAAGGCUACAAGUGUCUCCAUGUCCCAACCAAUCGAGUCUACAUAUCUCGGGAUGUUGUUUUUGAUGAGACCGUCUUCCCCUUUUCUGCCAUGUCUCGGUCAUCCACCACAACACCUUCUAUGCAUUCAUCUCCUCUUAUGCCUGGCCAAUUUGAAGAUGUUGCAUAUUCGCCUGUGUUGUUACCUAAUCAUGGUGCGGGAAUUGGACGUGGAGCUCGCCUGGAACUCCUCCCUGGCGGACCUGCUACGUCGCCUGUGGUGCACGUCGAUCGGCCGGUUUACAUGCGGCAGCCACCUGGAUUUGUUGAUCACACUCAGCCUCAUCAUCUCUGUCAUCUGACGAAGGCGAUAUAUGGACUGAAGCAGGCUCCCCGUGCCUGGCAUGCUCGCCUGGCUUUAGCUCUACGCACUCAUGGGUUCAUUCCUUCGACGGCUGAUACUUCACUGUUCUUGUUUCAGCGACUGAGUGUGACCAUGUACCUCCUUGUGUAUGUGGAUGAUAUUGUCCUGGUGAGCUCAUCUCCGACGGCUGCUGAUGCUCUUGUGACUGCACUUGGUCGUGAUUUUGCAGUUAAGGAUUUGGGGCAGCUUCAUUUCUUCCUGGGUAUUGAGGUUGCUCAUCAGUCUCGUGGCAGUUUGGCUCUCACCCAGAAGAAGUACUCUCUUGAUCUCUUGUGCCGUGCUGUUAUGCUCAAGUGCAAGCCAUCGCCUAUGCCCAUGUCCUCCACUGACACCCUUUCUGCUGCUGAUGGUGCUCUUCUCUCUCCUGAGGAUGCUACUGAGUACAGGAGUAUUGUUGGUGGCCUGCAGUAUCUGACGAUCACGCGUCCUGAUCUCUCCUUUGCGGUUAACAGGGUGUGCCGGUAUCUUCAUGCUCCCACUGAUGAACACUGGUCUGCUGUGAAGCGCAUACUGUGUUAUGUGCGUCUCACUGUCUCCUUUGGUCUUCACCUGCGCCCCAGUUCCUCCGGAGUUCUUUCUGCAUUCUCUGAUGCUGAUUGGGCUGGGUGUCCAGAUGACAGGCGAUCCAAGGGGGGACAUGCUGUGUUCUUGGGUCCUAAUCUGAUCGCCUGGAGUGCACGCAAGCAAGCCACUGUUUCCCGCAGCAGCACAGAAGCUGAGUACAAGUCGGUUGCCAAUGCAACUGCUGAACUUAUAUGGAUUGAGUCCCUACUUCGAGAGCUAGGAGUUGCUCAGCCACAUCCUUCGGUCAUUUGGUGUGACAACAUCGAUGCUACGUUUCUGUCGUCAAACCCGGUGUUUCAUGCACGGACUAAACACAUUGAGAUUGGCUAUCAUUUUGUGAGGAAACGUGUUGCACAGAAGCUACUAGAAGUCGGGUUUAUCUCUUCAAAAGAUCAACUUGCUGACAUCUUCACCAAGCCUCUACCUUCUCCCAUGUUUGAGGUCUGUAGGCGCAAUCUCAACCUCCUAGAUACUUCAGGGGUGAGUCGAGAUUGA